GCGCUCUUAGCUCAGUUGGUUAGAGCACCACCUUGACAUGGUGGGGGUCGAUCUCUUAGCUCAGUUGGUUAGAGCACCA
rnacentral:tRNA from 1 species